UGGAUGUCUAGGUACUAAGUNUUGAAAGGACGUAUAAAANAACGAAAAGUUAUGCGGAGUGCAAAUGUAUUGUGAUGCAUANAUUUCCUAAGGGGAAACCCACUCAUUUUNUGGAGUAUUUUAUAAUGAUUACACAGUGAACUGAAACAUCUAAGUAACUGUAGGAAUAAAAAUCAACCGAGAUUUCAUUAGUAGUGGCGAGCGAAAAUGAAAAAGGCCUUAGAAUAAAAAGGUAUAAGACUUGAAAAACCAUACAAAGGUUUGCCUAAGAGGGUUAAAGUCCCGUAAAAAUCUUAUUCUUUUUUUUCUUUGAGUAGGGCGAUACACGUGAAAUAUUGUCUGAAUACCGGGGGAUCACCCUCGAAGCCUAAAUAUAACUUAGUAACCGAUAGUGGACAAGUACCGUAAGGGAAAGGUGAAAAGAACCGGAGAGGGUUGAAAAGAACCUGAAACCUAAAGUCUACAACCAGUUGGUGUUCUAAAAUGAACAACAACGUACCUUUUGUAUAAUGGGUCAGCGACUUUAUUCACGUAGCAAGUCUAAGCUUUAAAGCGUAGGCGUAGUGAAAACAGGUUAUAAAAAAGCUUUUAGCUAUAAGAAUAAGACCCGAAACCGGGUGAUCUAGCCAUGAACAGGUUGAAGAAAGGGUAACACCUUUUGAAGGACCGAACCCACGUAUGUGGAAAAAUACGGGGAUGAUUUGUGGUUAGGGGUGAAAGGCCAAUCAAACUCGGAGAUAGCUGGCUUUCCGCGAAAUCUAUUUAAGUAGAGCGUUCAUAUUUGUCCGACUGGGGUAGAGCACUCAAUGGGCUAGGGGGACUAUAAAUCUUACUAAACCCAAGGAAACUCCGAAUACGGUAAGGAAAAUAUGGGCAGACAGACCCUGGGCGCUAAGGUCCUUGGUCAAGAGGGAAACAGCCCAAAAUAUACGUUAAGGUCCCAAAAAAAGUAUCUAAGUGAGAAAGAAAGUGAAAAAAUUCGGACACCCAGUAGGUAGGCUUGGAAGCAGCCAUCCUUUAAAGAAAGCGUAACAGCUCACUGGUCUAGCUCCUUUGCGUCGAAAAUGUAUAGGGACUUAAGAUAUGGGCCGAAACGGUAUUUCUUUCAGAAGGUAGCGGAAUGCCCUGUGUAUCAAGGAAGGCAAGUUGUAAGACUAGCUUGAGAUACCAAAGUUGAAAAUGCUGACAUGAGUAACGAUAAAGAAUGUGNGAAACAUUCUCGCCGUAAGUCCAAGGGUUUCUACGAUAGGCUAAUCCACGUAGAGUUAUGCGGUCCCUAAGGAAAAAGCGAAUGCUGUAUCCAAUGGGAAUUUGUUCUAGAAAGAUUACUAGGAUUUUGGAAGGUGACGAGAAUUUUAAAGAAUGCAAGUUUUUCAAUUCUCCAGGAAAAAACCUCCAUUAUAAACCGUACCCGAAACCGACACAGGUGGACAAGUCGAAUAGACUCAGGCGCUUGAGAGAACUACGUUGAAGGAACUCGGCAAAUUGACCCUGUAACUUCGGGAUAAAGGGUACCUUUUUUAGGGCAACCUAGAAAAGGUGGCACAGAAUAGGGGGUGGCGACUGUUUAGUAAAAACACAGGACUCUGCAAAUUCGUAAGAGGAUGUAUUGGGUCUGACACCUGCCCGGUGCUGGAAAGUUAAUGGGAGAUGUUUUCGCAUCAAACUGAAGCUCCAGUAAACGGCGGCGGUAACUCUGACCGUCCAAAGGUAGCGAAAUUCCUUGUCGGGUAAGUUCCGACCUGCAUGAAUGGUGUAACGACUUCCCCACUGUCUCCAACGUAGACUCAGUGAAAUUGAAUUGUCCGUGAAGAUGCGGACUAUAUACAGCUAGACGGAAAGACCCCGUGCACCUUUACUACAUCUUUGCAAUGUAGACGGUGAUAAAAUGUAUAGGAUAGGUGGGAGCUUAUGACACCUUCACGCUAGUGAAUUGUGUAGGCACUCUUGGAAUACCACCCUUUUUAUCUUCUUCUACUCACUAAGAGUUAAGAAUCUAACUCUAGGACCUUGCAUGGUUGGUAGUUUGACUGGGGCGGUCACCUCCUAAAAGGUAACGGAGGUGCGCAAAGGUGGACUCAGAUUGGUUUAACAUCAAUUGUAGAGCGCAAUGGUAUAAGUCUGCUUGACUGUAAGAUGUACUUAUCGAGCAGGGACGAAAGUCGGUCAUAGUGAUCCGGUGGUCCCGUGUGAAAGGGCCAUCGCUCAACGGAUAAAAGGUACGCCGGGGAUAACAGGCUGAUGACUCCCAAGAGCUCCUAUCGACGGAGUCGUUUGGCACCUCGAUGUCGACUCAUCACAUCCUGGAGCUGGAGAAGGUUCCAAGGGUUCGGCUGUUCGCCGAUUAAAGUGGUACGUGAGUUGGGUUUAGAACGUCGUGAGACAGUUUGGUCCCUAUCUACUGUAGUCGUUUACAAUUGAGAGAAUCUUAUUUUAGUACGAGAGGACCGAAUGGGGUUAACUUAUGGUGUAUCGGUUGUCAUAUCUUUGGCAUCGCCGAGUAGCUACGUUUAUAAGUGAUAAUUGCUGAAAGCAUCUAAGCAAG
rnacentral:rRNA from 1 species